AUGAAUUCACUUUUGAAGUUGUUGCUGGCCUCUAGGGGCAUUUGUGCACGCUUCAUCAGUCUUUCAAACCACCUGUGAACCUUUGAUAGAUUCGUCACUUCAAGUUUGGCGCCAAGUCCGAAUAGGGGCUUUAUGCCCCUGUCGGCGGCUGACUUGGACGAUUCUAUAUCUUACAUACCCCUAAACGAAUGUCUACGAAUGUUAUUGAUUGGGCCAUGUGCCUAUAAAUCUUAAUA
rnacentral:misc_RNA from 1 species